rnacentral:rRNA from 1 species
GACGAACGCUGGCGGCGUGCUUAACACAUGCCAGUCGAACGGAAAGGCCUGCCUUCCCUUGUGGAUUGCGGGUACUCGAGUGGCGAACGGGUGAGUAACACGUGAGUGAUCUGCCCCCAACUUGGGUAUAAGCCUGGGAAACUGGGUCUAAUUCCCGAUAGGACUGCAGGGUGGUGCCUGUGGUGGAAAACGAUUUUCUAGUGGUUGGGGAUGAGCUCGCGGCCUAUCAGCUUGUUGGUGGGGUAAUGGCCUACCAAGGCGGCGACGGGUAGCCGGCCUGGGAGGGUGGACGGCCACAUUGGGACUGAGAUACGGCCCAGACUCCUACGGGAGGCAGCAGUGGGGAAUAUUGCACAAUGGGCGGAAGCCUGAUGCAGCGACGCCGCGUGGGGGAUGACGGCCUUCGGGUUGUAAACUCCUUUCGACCGCGAGGAAGCCACCUGGUUGGAAGGGUGGUGACGGUAGUGGUAGAAGAAGCACCGGCUAACUACGUG